rnacentral:rRNA from 1 species
GACGAACGCUGGCGGCGUGCCUAACACAUGCAAGUCGAACGAAAAGGCCCUGCUUUUGUGGGUUGCUCGAGUGGCGAAGGGGUGUGUAACACGCGAGUAUCCUGCCCUUGACUUUGGGAUAACUUCAGGAAACUGGGGCUAAUAUCGCAUAGAAGCUCCUGCUGCAUGGUGGGGGUUGGAAAAUUUCGGCGGUUGGGGAUGGACUCGCGGCUUAUCAGCUUGUUGGUGGGGUAGUGGCUUACCAAGGCUUUGACGGGUAGCCGGCCUGAGAGGGUGACCGGGCACAUUGGGACUGAGAUAGGGCCCAGACUGCUACGGGAGGCAGCAGUGGGGAAUUUUGCAGAAUGGGCGGAAGCCUGAUGCAGCAACGUCGGGUGCGGGAUGACGGCCUUCGGGUUAUAAACCGAUUUCGCCUGUGACGAAGCGUGAGUGACGGUAAUGGGUAAAGAAGCACCGGCUAACUACGUG